rnacentral:tRNA from 2 species
GGCCGCCUGCUGAAACUGGUAGACAGACCCGACUUAAAAUCGGGAGCCUCUGGCGUGCGGGUUCGAGUCCCGCGGCGGCCACCA